CCUACGGGGAGCAGCAGUGGGGAAUAUUGGACAAUGGGCGAAAGCCUGAUCCAGCCAUGCCGCGUGUGUGAAGAAGGCCUUCGGGUUGUAAAGCACUUUCAGUGGGGAAGAAAGCCUUGGGGCUAAUACCCUCGAGGAAGGACAUCACCCACAGAAGAAGCACCGGCUAACUCCGUGCCAGCAGCCGCGGUAAUACGGAGGGUGCGAGCGUUAAUCGGAAUUACUGGGCGUAAAGCGCGCGUAGGCGGUCUGAUAAGCCGGUUGUGAAAGCCCCGGGCUCAACCUGGGAACGGCAUCCGGAACUGUCAGGCUAGAGUGCAGGAGAGGAAGGUAGAAUUCCCGGUGUAGCGGUGAAAUGCGUAGAGAUCGGGAGGAAUACCAGUGGCGAAGGCGGCCUUCUGGACUGACACUGACGCUGAGGUGCGAAAGCGUGGGUAGCAAACAGGAUUAGAUACCCCUGUCGUC
rnacentral:rRNA from 1 species